rnacentral:lncRNA from 1 species
ACAGAUAGGAAAUAGACUGGUAUUGCUGAUAGGACAGAAUUGAUGAGCAUCAGCCUUCCUGCCUUGUUCAUCAGACGGCCUUUCCAUGCUGGCAACCUUGCUGCCACUUUGUCAAUGAGGGGUUGGACAUCUAUCCUUCGUAGGGUUCUAGUGUGCAGUGGCAAUCCUAGGUAAGUGCAAGGGAAACUUUUCACUGGGCACUGGAAACUUUCCAUAAUCUCCUCAAAAUUUAGGCUAUCACAUUGGAUUGGGUAAACUGUACUUUUGUUCCUGUUAGUGACCAGCCUAGAUGCUAUACCAAAUUCCUCUAGGAUAUCACUGACCAC